GUAUGACCCUGUGCUUGGAGGGGUGAUUUCCACCCUCGAGUGUGAAGACCUGUAGAACCUGAUGCUUUGUGACAUAUUCUAGAGCAACACGACACUCUAGCCAUUCAAUCCUGAACCACAGGAUCUGCAGACACUUAUUAAAGGGGUAGUGCUGGUAAAUGAUGUGUUUGUUUCAGAGACCUACUAGGUCCAUUGCAGAGAGAGGAGUUUCAUGUGACCAUGUUACUUUGCCCUGGUAUUACAGUGAUGGAAGUUCCGGACAUCAACAUGGAUUUUGUACCUGGACCCACAUUUUGGCAAAUACCAGGUUUCAGACAUCCGCAUGUGAAAGGAAAAUAAAAUCUCUGGGAUCCCAAGCUCACUAUGCCAAAGGCGAAAGUUAAGCUUCGGAGCUGAGUCACACAAAACAAACAGACAAACAAAAAAACUGCCUUCCUUUCAGUCCUAAACAGCUGCAAGAUAGAAGGCCACACAGCUCACCAGGUGCUCUCCCUCACCCUAACAAUGUGAAUCAACAGCUUAUCUUCAAAAGUACAGGACAAAGACAAGACUAGAAAUCAUCCCUCCACCUACCCCCAAGACAAGUGCAUAUUUGACUUCUUCCUUUACUCUCUGUUUACUUUAUCCUAUGUAAAAUACAGAUCUACUAAGUAUGAGACGAAGGCGUAAUUGACUGUUUCUCUGUCCCACGCCUUUCAUAUUUAACAUGUGGAUUCAGUAAGUGCUAAUCAAAGCCUUAACAGAAUGUAAUCACUUAUCUCACUACCUACCCUCUCUUUUAUUUUCUUUCUUUCCUCUGCUGCCUGCUCUUUCCCCUUUAAAUACUGAAGUUCUCAAAAACAUUUUUGGAAAAAGUACUGAACACAGCUCUUAUGGUAACUUGUGUCUCUUCUUCCUGGGUGCACCCUCAACCUUGGCAAAAUAAAC
rnacentral:lncRNA from 1 species